GACGAACGCUGGCGGCGUGCUUAACACAUGCAAGUCGAGCGGUAAGGCCCUUUCGGGGGUACACGAGCGGCGAACGGGUGAGUAACACGUGGGUGACCUGCCCUUAGCUCUGGGAUAAGCCUGGGAAACUGGGUCUAAUACCGGAUAUGACUCCAUGACGCAUGUUGUGGGGUGGAAAGCCUUGUGCGGCUAGGGAUGGGCCCGCGGCCUAUCAGCUUGUUGGUGGGGUGAUGGCCACCAAGGCGACGACGGGUAGCCGGCCUGAGAGGGCGACCGGCCACACUGGGACUGAGACACGGCCCAGACUCCUACGGGAGGCAGCAGUGGGGAAUCUUGCGCAAUGGGCGAAAGCCUGACGCAGCGACGCCGCGUGAGGGAUGACGGCCUGGUUGUAA
rnacentral:rRNA from 1 species